rnacentral:lncRNA from 1 species
UUUUCAUUAGAGAGACUCGAUAAGUUGGAUUUUUCACCUCACUCACUCUUAAUUACAAGAGAUUUUUUAGGGUGUCUAAAACACGGGGCGAUAGGCUACAUGUUAUUAUACAAUUGGAGCAAUACUCGAAAAAAAACUUCCCUCCAAUUGUAUGAUCAUGUGGCGUACCGCCUCGUGUUCUGCGCACCUUGAAAAGUUUCUUGUUAAUUACUAGCUAAUUCCUAAAUAAUUAAGACACUAUUAUAUGUGUGACAACUAACAAGCUGCGGAAGAGUGCACGUAAAAUUUCUAACCAAGAAGAGAACCCCUCCUGAUGUCUCCCACCAAAGCUCACUAAUCAAUUAAUUUGGGCUCUUGAAAUUUGAUCCAACGACUACAAAUAGGGGUCCUCUUUAAAAGUUAUAAUAAUUUUAACCGUAAGAUCAAAUUUCAAGAGCCUAAAUUAAUUGAUUGAUGGGCUUUGGUGGGAAAGAUCCGGAGAUGAUCUCUUCCCUUUCUAACCUAUACCCUUACGUAAAACCAACAAACCAAAGUAAUUAUAUUACUAAUUUUGUUGCUAGAUAUAGGUGUAUCUAAUUAUCUACUUUUGUGUCAGCUUGAGCUCAUUCUUUUACUGCCUCAAUAUACCAUGACCAAGUAACAAGCACACGAAGACUACAUGGUAUCAAUAAAUGUAUAGUUAAAUUAACAAAAGAAAAUAUAAUACAUGUUUUUAUCACAAAUGGUAUCUAAUAUUGACAUAUCUCAUCAACAUGAUAUCAAAAAUGAAAAUCGAUCAAUAUAAUCCAUGAAUAUGAGUGCCUCAAAUCAAUGACAUCCUUCCGUUUAUUUGCGUUAAAUAUUAUGUUAAUGUCACACGACACAUGUAGCUCCACAUGCCUAAUUAAAUA